GACGAACGCUGGCGGCGUGCCUAAUACAUGCAAGUCGAACGCAGUGGGGACGAGUUAGUAACACGUGGGUAACCUCCCAUAAAACUGGAUAACACUUGGAAACAAGUGCUAAACCGAUACUGAUGUAUGGACCAGCGGUGGAUUAGCUAGUUGGGGAGGUAACGGCUCACCAAGGCCACGAUGCAUACACGACCUGAGAGGGUGACCCGCCACACUGGGACUGAGACACGGCCCAGACUCCUACGGGAGGCAGCAGUAGGGAAUCUUCGGCAAUGGACGAAAGUCUGAUCCAGCCAUGCCGCGUGAGUGAAGAAGGGCUUCGGAUUGUAAAGUACUGUUGGUAGAGAAGCGGUAUCUACACAGAAAGCCACGGCUAACUACGUGCCAGCAGCCGCGGUAAUAC
rnacentral:rRNA from 1 species